GGCAACACUGGGAUAGCUCAGUUGGUAGAGCAUGAGACUCUGAAUCCCAGGCUCAUAGGUUCGAGCCCCACGUUGGUCA